rnacentral:misc_RNA from 1 species
UACUUACUGCGAUUGAAGCGGCUUUUGGUUCUUUUGAAGAAUUUAAAGCAAAAUUCAGCAAAGCGGGAGCGACU